CGUGGUUUGUAGAAAUGCUAAUGCCAUGUUCAAGAACUGUGUUUUUGGCUAUUUUUUUGAGAUUUCAGUUAUAUAUACUCGUAUAUAAACAAUUAUAGAACAUAUUUAAAUAUCUGUAUAUUUAAAUUACAUUUAUAUAUACCACAAAUGGAUUUUCAAGAGAUUCCGCAUCGUUUUUUGAAGGGAAUAACUUUUGGAAUCUAUUCGUCCGAAGAAUUACGUAAAUUCAGCGUAAUUGAAAUUACAAGCAUUAAAACUUUUGACGCUCUCGGACAUCCAGCAGCAAAUGGCUUACAUGAUCCAGCUUUAGGCCCUUCUGAAUUCAAUGAACUCUGUAAAACGUGUGGACUAAGUCAAUUUCAUUGCCCCGGACAUUUUGGACAUAUUAAUUUGCCAUUGCCUGUUUUCAAUCCAUUUUUACUUACUAUUUUACAUAAAACUCAUUCGUAAAAGCGUAAUACGAGAUUUAGUCAAAAAGUUCCAGGACUGGUGAUAUGGCGCUACAAUCUGCCACAUGCUGAACUUGUGCGAACUAGGAUGUGUUAGAUCUGUGUUCUUGCCAAUUUACAAUUUUCAUUGAUUUGUAAAAUUAAUCGUUUUAAGGACUGUAUGAGUGUGAAAUUUUUAUUUCAAACUUGGCAAGACUGUAGAAGAAAAGAAACUGAUUACAGGAGACAAAACA
rnacentral:misc_RNA from 1 species